rnacentral:rRNA from 1 species
AUUGAACGCUGGCGGCAGGCCUAACACAUGCAAGUCGAACGAGUGGCGGACGGGUGAGCAAUGUCUGGGAAACUGCCUGAUGGAGGGAGAUAACGACUGGAAAAGGUAGCUAAUACCGCAUACCAUCAGAUGUGCCCAGAUGGGUUUAGCGUGUUGGUGGGGUAACGGCUCACCAAGGCGACGAUCCACAGCUGGUCUGAGAGGAUGACCAGCCACACUGGAACUUAGACACGGUCCAGACUCCUACGGGAGGCAGCAGUUGGGAAUUUUGCACAAUGGGCGCAAGCCUGAUGCAGCAACGCCGCGUGUGUGAAGAAGGCCUUCGGGUUGUAAAGUUCUUUCAUCGGGGAGGCGUUACCCGCAGAAGAAGCACCGGCUAACUCCGUGCCAGCAGCCGCGGUAAUAC